AGUCGAACGGCAGCGCGGGGCAACCUGGCGGCGAGUGGCGAACGGGUGAGUAAUAUAUCGGAACGUACCCAAGAGUGGGGGAUAACGUAGCGAAAGUUACGCUAAUACCGCACACGAUCUAUGGAUGAAAGUGGGGGAUCGCAAGACCUCAUGCUCCUGGAGCGGCCGAUAUCUGAUUAGCUAGUUGGUGAGGUAAAGGCUCACCAAGGCGACGAUCAGUAGCUGGUCUGAGAGGACGACCAGCCACACUGGAACUGAGACACGGUCCAGACUCCUACGGGAGGCAGCAGUGGGGAAUUUUGGACAAUGGGCGCAAGCCUGAUCCAGCAAUGCCGCGUGAGUGAAGAAGGCCUUCGGGUUGUAAAGCUCUUUUGUCAGGGAAGAAACGGUUGGGGCUAAUAUCCUCGGCUAAUGACGGUACCUGAAGAAUAAGCACCGGCUAACUACGUGCCAGCAGCCGCGGUAAUACGUAGGGUGCAAGCGUUAAUCGGAAUUACUGGGCGUAAAGCGUGCGCAGGCGGUUUUGUAAGUCUGUCGUGAAAGCCCCGGGCUCAACCUGGGAAUUGCGAUGGAGACUGCAAGGCUUGAAUCUGGCAGAGGGGGGUAGAAUUCCACGUGUAGCAGUGAAAUGCGUAGAGAUGUGGAGGAACACCGAUGGCGAAGGCAGCCCCCUGGGUCAAGAUUGACGCUCAUGCACGAAAGCGUGGGGAGCAAACAGGAUUAGAUACCCUGGUAGUCCACGCCCUAAACGAUGUCUACUAGUUGUCGGGUUUUAAUUAACUUGGUAACGCAGCUAACGCGUGAAGUAGACCGCCUGGGGAGUACGGUCGCAAGAUUAAAACUCAAAGGAAUUGAC
rnacentral:rRNA from 1 species